rnacentral:rRNA from 1 species
UACGGAGGAUGCGAGCGUUAUCCGGAUUUAUUGGGUUUAAAGGGUGCGUAGGUGGGCUAUUAAGUCAGUGGUGAAAGUUUGUCGCUCAACGAUAAAAUUGCCGUUGAAACUGGUGGUCUUGAGUAUGGAUGAAGUAGGCGGAAUGCGUGGUGUAGCGGUGAAAUGCAUAGAGAUCACGCAGAACUCCGAUUGCGAAGGCAGCUUACUAAGGUAUAACUGACACUGAAGCACGAAAGCGUGGGUAUCAAACAGG